rnacentral:rRNA from 1 species
UGGGGAAUAUUGGACAAUGGGCGCAAGCCUGAUCCAGCCAUGCCGCGUGAGUGAUGAAGGCCCUAGGGUUGUAAAGCUCUUUCACCGGUGAAGAUAAUGACGGUAACCGGAGAAGAAGCCCCGGCUAACUUCGUGCCAGCAGCCGCGGUAAUACGAAGGGGGCUAGCGUUGUUCGGAUUUACUGGGCGUAAAGCGCACGUAGGCGGACUAUUAAGUCAGGGGUGAAAUCCCGGGGCUCAACCCCGGAACUGCCUUUGAUACUGGUAGUCAUGAGUUCGAGAGAGGGGAGUGGAAUUCCGAGUGUAGAGGUGAAAUUCGUAGAUAUUCGGAGGAACACCAGUGGCGAAGGCGGCUCACUGGCUCGAUACUGACGCUGAGGUGCGAAAGCGUGGGGAGCAAACAGG